CCUACGGGAUGCAGCAGUGAGGAAUAUUGGUCAAUGGCCGUGAGGCUGAACCAGCCAAGUAGCGUGAAGGAAGACUGCCCUACGGGUUGUAAACCUCUUUUAUGAAGGGAUAAAGGUGUCCACGUGUGGCUUUUUGCAGGUACCGUAUGAAUAAGGACCGGCUAAUUCCGUGUCAGCAGCCGCGGUAAUACGGAGGGUCCGGGCGUUAUCCGGAUUUAUUGGGUUUAAAGGGAGCGUAGGCGGGUCUUUAAGCGUGCCGUGAAAUUUUGUGGCUCAACCAUGAGAGUGCGGCGCGAACUGGAGACCUUGAGUGCGCGGAAGGCAGGCGGAAUUCGUGGUGUAGCGGUGAAAUGCUUAGAUAUCACGAAGAACCCCGAUUGCGAAGGCAGCCUGCCGAAGCGUUACUGACGCUGAAGCUCGAAAGCGCGGGUAUCGAACAGGAUUAGAUACCCCUGUAGUC
rnacentral:rRNA from 1 species